UGAAUACGAGACGCUAAGGCGUUGAAGUAGUGUAUGUCAUACUUCCAAGAAAAGCUUGCACUGUCAUAGAUAAAAAACGCCUGUACCAUAACCGACACAGGUGGGUAGGUAGAGUAUACUAAGGGGCGCGAGAUAACUCUCUCUAAGGAACUCGGCAAAAUAACUCCGUAACUUCGGGAGAAGGAGUGCCUUAUUUAUAAGGCUGCAAUAACAAGAUCCAAGCAACUGUUUAUCAAAAACACAGGUCUCCGCUAAGUCGUAAGACGAUGUAUGGGGGCUGACGCCUGCCCAGUGCCAGAAGGUUAAAGAAGUUGGUUAGCAAUAGCGAAGCUGAUAACUGAAGCCCUGGUGAACGGCGGCCGUAACGAUAACGGUCCUAAGGUAGCGAAAUUCCUUGUCGGGUAAGUUCCGACCCGCACGAAAGGCGUAAUGAUUUGGAUACUGUCUCGGAGAGGGGCUCGGUGAAAUAGACUUGUCUGUGAAGAUGCGGACUACCUGCACCAGGACAGAAAGACCCUAUGAAGCUUUACUGUAACUUGAAAUUGAAAUUGGACUUUAUUCGCGCAGUAUAGGUGGGAGGCGUUGAUUGUAAUCUUGCGGGAUUAUUGGAGCCAUCAGUGAGAUACCACCCUUGUAAUGUUAGAUUUCUAACUUUGAAUCAUUAUCUGGUCAAAGAACAGUUUCAGGCGGGCAGUUCGACUGGGGCGGUCGCCUCCUAAACGGUAACGGAGGCGUACAAAGGUUUCCUCUGAACGGUUAGAAAUCGUAUCUAGAGUGUAAAGGCAUAAGGAAGCUUGACUGUGAGACCUACAAGUCGAGCAGGGACGAAAGUCGGUCUCAGUGAUCUGACGGUACUGAGUGGAAAGGCCGUCACUCAACGGAUAAAAGUUACUCUAAGGAUAACAGGCUGAUCUCCCCCAAGAGUUCACAUCGACGGGGAGGUUUGGCACCUCGAUGUCGGCUCAUCGCAUCCUGGGGCGGUAGUACGUCCCAAGGGUUGGGCUGUUCGCCCAUGAAAGCGGUACGCGAGCUGGGUUCAGAACGUCGUGAGACAGUUCGGUCCAUAUCCGGUGUAGGCGUUAGAAUAUUGAGAGGAGCCUUCUUUAGUACGAGAGGACCGAGAAGGACAUACCUCUGGUGUACCAGUUAUCGUGCCAACGGUAAACGCUGGGUAGCUAUGUAUGGAGUGGAUAACCGCUGAAAGCAUCUAAGUGGGAAGCCCACCUCAAGAUAAGUAUUCUCAU
rnacentral:rRNA from 1 species